rnacentral:lncRNA from 1 species
CAGCACAGCCAACAGCAAAACAGCCAACAACAGCACAGCCAACAACAGCACAGCCAACAGCAGCACAGCCUCAAGAGCUGCCGCGCACGGGGGCUACUGCUUCGCUUCUGCCUCCAGAUUGUGCACAGCCCUCUCCGAGGACUACCAGGGAAGGGGGUUCCAGCAGAAGGUCCUGCCUGGCUGAGGUGACAUGACGCAAAGCCACCAUGGUCGCAUCCUGUGAGAGGGACCCGUGUGGCACCACAGGCAAAAGCAGGUCUCUCUGGACAAUGGCAGUCCCACCCCCGGGGCGACCACGAGGAUUCUCAGUUUAUCCGUGUGCUUGGAACAAUGCCUAGUGAUUGCUAGUGCCACGCGGUUCUUACUUUACUUCCUACUUUCAGAGCUUGAAAUGAACUUGAGAUAACCUAAAAAGACACCAUCAAAAAACAGGUUAAGGAGACGAAAGGGGAAAUGAAAACCACAGCGAGGAAACAAGGAAGAUAUGAAAAGGGGCCAAAACCAAGGUCUGGAAAUACCUGAAGGAAAAGAUUUCACUGCAAUGGAUGGAAAUGUGACUCUCAGGACUUAGCUGAGGAGAAACAGUGGCCCUGAAGACCAAGCCCGGUAGGCAGCCCCGACGCAGCAGACAGAGGGGGACAUCGAGGUGGAGAAGACGCAGCAGGCAGAGGGGGACAUCGAGGUGGAGAAGACGCAGCAGGCAGAGGGGGACAUCGAGGUGAGAAGACGCAGCAGGCAGAGGGGGACAUCGAGAUGGAGAAGACGCAGCAGGCAGAGGGGAACAUCGAGGUGGAGAAGACGCAGCAGGCAGAGGGGGACAUCGAGGUGAGAAGACGCAGCAGGCAGAGGGGGACAUCGAGGUGGAGAAGACGCAGCAGGCAGAGGGGGACAUCGAGGUGGAGAAGACGCAGCAGGCAGAGGGGGACAUCGAGGUGGAGAAGACGCAGCAGACAGAGGGGGACAUCGAGGUGGAGAAGACGCAGCAGGCAGAGGGGGACAUCGAGGUGGAGAAGACGCAGCAGGCAGAGGGGGACAUCGAGGUGGAGAAGA